UACGUAGGUGGCAAGCGUUGUCCGGAUUUAUUGGGUUUAAAGGGUGCUUAGGUGGCCCUGUAAGUCAGUGGUGAAAUAUCUCAGCUUAACUGAGAGGGUGCCAUUGAUACUGCAGGGCUUGAGUACAGAUGAGGUAGGCGGAAUUGACGGUGUAGCGGUGAAAUGCAUAGAUAUCGUCAAGAACACCGAUAGCGAAGGCAGCUUACCAAGCUGUAACUGACACUGAGGCACGAAAGUGCGGGGAUCAAACAGG
rnacentral:rRNA from 1 species